UCUGUUGCAUAAGUUGUUUGAUUCCUAUUAUGAGUGGUACAAAUACAAAACGCCAAGUGGAGAAGGAAGCGAAAGUCGACAAACAUCCGUUGGAAGUACAGAUUUAUAUGGUUCAUCAAGUAGUGUGAACGAUGUUGAUAUCGAUAUGGGUUUUACUUAUGAUGAUGAUCCUUUUGCUUCGUUUACCCAAAUGAUGGCGGAUAAAGGGGUUAUUGAGGAAUCACCGAACGAGCUGGAUAUUUAUUUGAUGGAAAAGGUCGAAGUGAUGAAGUCUAACAACUUAGGUUGUGAAUUUGAUAUUUUGUCAUGGUGGAAGGCGGUCAAUGGUAAAUUUCCAAUCCUGGCGGAAAUGGCGAGAGAUUUAUUAGCAAUACCGGUCUCAACGGUUUCAUCCGAGUCGGCAUUUAGCACUGGGGGUCGCAUUCUAGAUCAAUAUCGGAGUUGUUUAACUCCUCAUAUGGUUGAAGCAUUAGUCCUUACACAAAAUUGGUUAAUGUCUCCUCUUAGUUCGGAUGAAAAACGUAGCUUCGGUGAUUUGAUCGCAGAAAAUGAGUUUAUGUUUGCAUUGGCGGAAGAGUUUAAAAAAUCGUCGGGACAAGAUGACUCGGGACAAGUUGAUUUGUGUGUCAUCUAGAAUGAAGCUCGUCAAGGUUCGAUAUAUGGAGCUCUUGUGCGAGAAGAUUGUUGAAGAAACGUUUUAUGUUUGUUUUUUAUUUUUUAUAUGAGA